rnacentral:tRNA from 1 species
AAGAUACUAGUAAAAAAUUACACUGCCUUGUCAAGGCAGAAUUGCGGGUUAGACCCCCGCGUAUCUUA